CCCUCACAACGGCUUCCUGGCGUGGGGGGACAUUUCAAAAUGGAGCG
rnacentral:ncRNA from 1 species